UAUACUAACUGCUUUUGUUCGUUGCCACAGAUUCCAUCCCAGUUUUGCAGCCAACAGACGGCCGAAGAUAUGGCUUUAUUGGCUUAUAAUCGCGCUCUUAAGCUCUCUACGCAGGAUCCCCAGUUGUUGGUGUCGGUUUCACUGGCUCUUUGGCUAGCAGUCGUCCAAAACUCGGGGAACACCGACUUUACAUGUCAACAAGGACAGCUGACCAACUGUGGAUAUCAAGAGUGACCUUGACUAAG